GGAGAGGUGUCCGAGAGGCUGAAGGAACGCGACUGGAAAUCGCGUAAACGGGCAACCGUUUCGGGGGUUCGAAUCCCCCCCUCUCCGC
rnacentral:tRNA from 1 species